UACAACCAUCUAAAGCAUAAUAUAAUUUACAAUCCCAAUUAUACCCUUCACUCAAAAAACACCACACGGGGUACACAAAUCAAUUUUAGGGUUUCUCACUCUCAUCGUAUUUUAUCCGCCCCCAUCGAGCUGCUUUCUCUCCAGGCGAUUCAAAAGGAAAUCUAGGGUUUCUUCUGGCGAUGCAAGAUCUGGCUUUCUCAAUGACACCAGAUCAACAAAUCUCUCUCUAUAUGACACCCAAACGACUGAGUUUGAAGGUGGUGAAGGGUUUGGAUCUGCCAAUAAGUGACGUAUGAGCAAGGUAUGGUUCCGACAAACUGAAGACUUUGACAUCUAAUCUGAAUGGUAUUGGGUCCCCUAUGAAGCCCCUUGUAAACGACGAUCACACAAAAUCGACGAUUUUAGGGUUCAGUUUUGGUAGUCUGAUGAGGAAAUUAGCAUCAUGUUAUGGGUUUUCGGUAACUCGUUGCAUUAGCUGUUACAAGUGAAGACCCCCAGAGAGACAUGAAGCCCUAGGUUGCUCGGUAUGCAGAAUGUCAAGAUACAAUGAUAGGAGGCACUUUUAUUCGGGGCGUUUCAGGCGGGGAGAGAAAACGAGUUUGUAUUGGACUUGAAAUAAUAAUCAAUCCUUCUCUCUUGUUCCUUGAUGAACGAUGUCGGCUUGGACUCUACAACUGCUUUGAAGUUCAAUGAACUAUUGCAAGACAUAGCUGAGACAGAGAAGACCGUGAUCACCACAAUUCACCAGCCAUCGAUCCGACUUUUCCACAAAUUUGAUAAUCUAAUCCUACUUGGAAAAUGGAGCUUGCUUUAUUUCGGGAAAGCAUCCGAAGCCAUUGGUAUACUUUUCAUCAAUAGGAUGUUCUCCAUUAAUUUCCAUGAAUCCCGCAGAGUUUUAGCUAGACUUUUAUGGUGGCAGUCAGAAGUUCACAGUCCUAAAGACCUCGAUAAUCAAGCAGGGUUGUUGUUCUUCAUUGCGGUAUUUUAGGCAUUUUUCCGGUUUUCAUAGCGAUUUUUACAUUCCCACAGGAAAGCGCAAUGUUAAACAAGGGAAGAGCAACAGAUAUGUAUAGAUUAAGUGCAUAUUUUAUGGCGAGAACAACAACUGACCUUCCACUUGAUCUAUUUCUCCCAUUGCUUUUUCUCCUUGUUGUUUAUUACAUGGCAGGCUUGAGAUUAACCGCCGAUUCGUUUUUCUUAACUAUUUUCUUCCUAUGUAUAGUUGCAGCUCAGGGGCCUGGGCUAGCUAUUGGUGCUACGUUGACCAACUUGAAGAAAGCAACGACUUUGGCUUCUGUAACCGUGAUGGCCUUCAUGUUGGCUGGUCGUUAUUUUGUGAAGGAUCGGUUUGAUCCAAUUGCCGAUUCGACUACUAGCCGUCUCGAUCUGAUUCCCCAGAUGGUUUACGGGAGAAGUUUAAAACAACAGGACUAGGGAGAGAUGUACUGUGCUACACUGACAAUCAACUCUACGAUUGUGUGCGUUGGUCGUAUUUUUGGGCAGGAUGUAGCUGAAAUUCCUUUAGUGGCAACAAGUAGUGAAUGUCAAGGAUUGCUUAGCAUUGAUUGGUCUUGUUCUUGGUUCAUCAACAGUGGCAAGAGGUGUAGUUGGUCUUGUUCUUGGUUACCUGAACAAUUUAUUUAUAGAAAUGGCUUUCUUGAUAGAGGUGCGUGCAUAUCACAUCAUCCAUCACCUUCAAAGCAUGACUUAUAACCAUUUCUACAUAGGGCAAUGUUCACAUUACAAGACCAUACCGGUCACUCGGACCGCAUACCAACUACACAAGCGGCAUGGUCGAGUACUCUUGUACUGCUCAUUUGGAUAGGCCAGUUAUCAUGUCGGCUGUUGAACUGAAAACCGGAUUGUUGAUUGGGCCAGAUUUUUAAAGCUUUGUAGUUUCCUUUUUUUAAUUUUUUCCCUUCUAAAAUAGUAAAAUCUCAUCUAUUAAUUCAUUUUAAACUAAAACCUCUAUGGUUUGCUUAUUCCAGGCUCUAUUUUGGUAGCAUUGCCAAAAAAAUAAAGGAUAAAUUAGUUCCAUAUUUUGUUUUUAUUAGUUAUACAUAAUUUUUUAAAGUUCUAAAUUAUUUAUGAUGUCAACCCGUUUCUGAAACUGGUAUGACCAAUCGACCAUUCAUUGACAUGUACGGAUAUGUUCUAUCGUUUGCAGGCUAACACACAUGAGGAGCUACCUGAAACCCUUCUGGGAACUUGGUGGUUGAAUCACAUGUACACAUCCAAAUUCAUGAAAGUUGUAUAGUUUAGUAGUUUAUAAUAACCCAUUUGAAUUC